rnacentral:rRNA from 1 species
GUCGAGCGAACAGACGAGGAGCUUGCUCCUCUGACGUUAGCGGCGGACGGGUGAGUAACACGUGGAUAACCUACCUAUAAGACUGGGAUAACUUCGGGAAACCGGAGCUAAUACCGGAUAAUAUAUUGAACCGCAUGGUUCAAUAGUGAAAGACGGUUUUGCUGUCACUUAUAGAUGGAUCCGCGCCGCAUUAGCUAGUUGGUAAGGUAACGGCUUACCAAGGCAACGAUGCGUAGCCGACCUGAGAGGGUGAUCGGCCACACUGGAACUGAGACACGGUCCAGACUCCUACGGGAGGCAGCAGUAGGGAAUCUUCCGCAAUGGGCGAAAGCCUGACGGAGCAACGCCGCGUGAGUGAUGAAGGUCUUCGGAUCGUAAAACUCUGUUAUUAGGGAAGAACAAAUGUGUAAGUAACUAUGCACGUCUUGACGGUACCUAAUCAGAAAGCCACGGCUAACUACGUGCCAGCAGCCGCGGUAAUACGUAGGUGGCAAGCGUUAUCCGGAAUUAUUGGGCGUAAAGCGCGCGUAGGCGGUUUUUUAAGUCUGAUGUGAAAGCCCACGGCUCAACCGUGGAGGGUCAUUGGAAACUGGAAAACUUGAGUGCAGAAGAGGAAAGUGGAAUUCCAUGUGUAGCGGUGAAAUGCGCAGAGAUAUGGAGGAACACCAGUGGCGAAGGCGACUUUCUGGUCUGUAACUGACGCUGAUGUGCGAAAGCGUGGGGAUCAAACAGGAUUAGAUACCCUGGUAGUCCACGCCGUAAACGAUGAGUGCUAAGUGUUAGGGGGUUUCCGCCCCUUAGUGCUGCAGCUAACGCAUUAAGCACUCCG